rnacentral:rRNA from 1 species
CCGGUGCUUGCACCGGGGAUUAGUGGCGAACGGGUGAGUAACACGUGAGUAACCUGCCCUUAACUCUGGGAUAAGCCUGGGAAACUGGGUCUAAUACCGGAUAUGACUCCUCAUCGCAUGGUGGGGGGUGGAAAGCUUUUUGUGGUUUUGGAUGGACUCGCGGCCUAUCAGCUUGUUGGUGAGGUAAUGGCUCACCAAGGCGACGACGGGUAGCCGGCCUGAGAGGGUGACCGGCCACACUGGGACUGAGACACGGCCCAGACUCCUACGGGAGGCAGCAGUGGGGAAUAUUGCACAAUGGGCGAAAGCCUGAUGCAGCGACGCCGCGUGAGGGAUGACGGCCUUCGGGUUGUAAACCUCUUUCAGUAGGGAAGAAGCGAAAGUGACGGUACCUGCAGAAGAAGCGCCGGCUAACUACGUGCCAGCAGCCGCGGUAAUACGUAGGGCGCAAGCGUUAUCCGGAAUUAUUGGGCGUAAAGAGCUCGUAGGCGGUUUGUCGCGUCUGCCGUGAAAGUCCGGGGCUCAACUCCGGAUCUGCGGUGGGUACGGGCAGACUAGAGUGAUGUAGGGGAGACUGGAAUUCCUGGUGUAGCGGUGAAAUGCGCAGAUAUCAGGAGGAACACCGAUGGCGAARGCAGGUCUCUGGGCAUUAACUGACGCUGAGGAGCGAAAGCAUGGGGAGCGAACAGGAUUAGAUACCCUGGUAGUCCAUGCCGUAAACGUUGGGCACUAGGUGUGGGGGACAUUCCACGUUUUCCGCGCCGUAGCUAACGCAUUAAGUGCCCCGCCUGGGGAGUACGGCCGCAAGGCUAAAACUCAAAGGAAUUGACGGGNGGCCCGCACAAGCGGCGGAGCAUGCGGAUUAAUUCGAUGCAACGCGAAGAACCUUACCAAGGCUUGACAUGAACCGGUAAUACCUGGAAACAGGUGCCCCGCUUGCGGUCGGUUUACAGGUGGUGCAUGGUUGUCGUCAGCUCGUGUCGUGAGAUGUUGGGUUAAGUCCCGCAACGAGCGCAACCCUCGUUCUAUGUUGCCAGCACGUGAUGGUGGGGACUCAUAGGAGACUGCCGGGGUCAACUCGGAGGAAGGUGGGGACGACGUCAAAUCAUCAUGCCCCUUAUGUCUUGGGCUUCACGCAUGCUACAAUGGCCGGUACAAAGGGUUGCGAUACUGUGAGGUGGAGCUAAUCCCAAAAAGCCGGUCUCAGUUCGGAUUGGGGUCUGCAACUCGACCCCAUGAAGUCGGAGUCGCUAGUAAUCGCAGAUCAGCAA